UACGGAGGGUGCGAGCGUUGUCCGGAAUCACUGGGCGUAAAGGGCGCGUAGGCGGUUUCUCAAGCGUGUGGUGAAAGCCCGGGGCUCAACCCCGGGUCGGCCGUGCGAACUGGGAGACUCGAGUACUGUAGAGGCGGGUGGAAUUCCGGGUGUAGCGGUGGAAUGCGUAGAGAUCCGGAAGAACACCGGUGGCGAAGGCGGCCCGCUGGGCAGUUGCUGACGCUGAGGCGCGACAGCGUGGGGAGCAAACAGG
rnacentral:rRNA from 1 species